GGGGAAUCUUAGACAAUGGACGCAAGUCUGAACCAGCCAUGCCGCGUGGAGGAUGAAGGUCCUCUGGAUUGUAAACUUCUUUUAUUUGGGAAGAAAGGCAUUUUUUCUAAAGUGUUUGACGGUACCAGAUGAAUAAGCACCGGCUAACUACGUGCCAGCAGCCGCGGUAAUACGUAGGUGGCAAGCGUUGUCCGGAUUUAUUGGGUUUAAAGGGUGCGUAGGCGGUCCUAUAAGUCAGUUGUGAAAUACGGCAGCUUAACUGUCGAGGUGCAAUUGAUACUGCAGGACUUGAGUACAGACGAGGUAGGCGGAAUUGACGGUGUAGCGGUGAAAUGCUUAGAUAUCGUCAAGAACACCGAUAGCGAAGGCAGCUUACUAGACUGUAACUGACGCUGAUGCACGAAAGCGUGGGGAGCAAA
rnacentral:rRNA from 1 species